rnacentral:rRNA from 1 species
AACCUCCCAUCCGUGUCUAUUGUACCCUGUUGCUUCGGCGGGCCCGAGAAAGACGGGCGGCGGGGGGGCGCCUCUGCCCCCCGGGCCCGUGUCCGCCGGAAACCCCAACACGAACACUGUCUGAAAGCGUGCAGUCUGAGUUGAUUGAAUGCAAUCAGUUAAAACUUUCAACAAUGGAUCUCUUGGUUCCGGCAUCGAUGAAGAACGCAGCGAAAUGCGAUAACUAAUGUGAAUUGCAGAAUUCAGUGAAUCAUCGAGUCUUUGAACGCACAUUGCGCCCCCUGGUAUUCCGGGGGGCAUGCCUGUCCGAGCGUCAUUGCUGCCCUCAAGCCCGGCUUGUGUGUUGGGUCGCCGUCCCCCUCUCCGGGGGGACGGGCCCGAAAGGCAGCGGCGGCACCGCGUCCGAUCCUCGAGCGUAUGUGGCUUUGUCACAUGCUCUGUUAGGAUUGGCCGGCGCCUGCCGACGUUUUCCAACCAUUCUUUCCAGGUUUGACCUCGGAUCAGGUAGGGAUACCCGCUGAACUUAAGCAUAUCAAUUAA